AAGGGCUUCCUUCAUUGUAAAUCAUCCCUCAAAAGAAGAAAUAAGAAUUACUCUCUCUAUUCUGUCUACUCUUGUUCUUUAUUCCUUCUUGUUUUAUAAAAUUUUUUAUAUUUUUCAAUUGAUUUAUUAAAAUCCUAAAUUUCCCCCUUCUCCUUCAUCAUUUCUCAACCGAUUUUCUUCAUUUUUUUUUCCGCAUAUUUUCUCAUCUUUUUUGUUUUUUCAUUUAUCAACAUCAUGGUUUGCUUUAAUUCUAAAGUUGGAUGAUAAACAUGAUAUUUCUAACAUCAGUAGCUGACUAACUUGUUUAUGUAUAUAAUGCAAUGGUCACAACACCAGCAAGAACAAAAAAGAUGAUAGCUUUAGAUUCAAUUUAGUGAUAAAAAUGAAAUCUCGAAAGUAUUUGAGAUUGGACACCGUGUAUGAAACAUCUUUACACAUCAUAAUUAAAGGAAGCUUAUCUAUGGAUAGCGUAUCUAUUCAAGAGGAGAUUUUGUUUUGUUAUAUUAAUUUACGGAUCCGGUGUUGCAGCACAAAAUAGCCGAAGCAGAAACCAUUUAACGCUAUGAAAAAGUUAGAUACGUAUGUGAUUAAAUGUAACCUGAACCCUAUACUCAAAAUAUCAAGCCAUUACAUGAAUAUAUUAGCAUAACCGGUAGAUUGAAUCAGAACAAGCCAUUGCAUGUUUAUAUCAAAGCAACUGACUGACACAGAACUUUUAAUCUUUUAACUUUUUCCCACGGUGAAAUUAUUUUUCCACGUGGCAAUUCACGUGGCAGAUUUUUCCACGUGGCAAAUAUUUUCAAAAGAAAUGGAGAGUAUAACACACACCAUUACAAAUUAGUUGAGGUGUGUUUCUCUAAUUAAUUUGUGAUAGUUUAAAUGUGUUUCUCACACUCUCAAUAGUUUAGAUGUGAAGAUGAAUAAAGAGACUGUGUAGAUGUGUUUUUGACACUUCACUCUAUUAAAUAUCAUGGAGAGGCUUGGUCGACAAGCUAACAAGACUAUACAAGCCUCUUAUAUAUAUUAGUAAUGCUUUAUAAAGUUGAAUCUAUACCUAAUAUAGUUUGUGUCCAUAGAGUACUACUUUAUGUUUUGAAAUAAAUAUACAUUUUCUCCUUUAUGAUACUCUGCUAGUUUGUAAUAUUAACCGAGUAUUAUAGAGAAUUUAGUAAUGGUUUGUUGAAAGCAAUGUAAUUACCAAUAUGGGUUGUGGUGCAGUGGAUGGGACUGCUUGACCCUUAACUAGAGGUUGAGGGUUCGACCCUGGGUAUGGAGAAAACUCUAUUGGGAGCGCUGCCACCUUAAUGGGCCCUGUAAUGAGCGAUUCAAAUUAGUCGGGGCUCCAAUGCGGGCACCAAACACCGAAUAGGAAACUAAAAAGAGAAAGAAAUGUACUUGAUCUUCUGUCAUAUGAUACUCUGUCAGUAUAUUUAUAUGCAGUGGAGGUAUUAUAUAGAAAUUUAUUUACUCCCUCUUCCCAAAUUAUCCGUCCCAAAUUUUCUAAUUUGAUUUCUCAUUUUACUUGUCUUUUUUCAUUAAUCAAGAAGAGAUAAUUUUUUUUUUCAUAUUUUACCUUUUGCAUUAAUUAUUUUUUCUUCAAAUUAAAAUGUAAACAUCAUUUAAUAGGGGUAUUAUGGUAAACUAGACAUGUUAUUAAUUAUUUUUCUUAAUUAAUGUGUCAUCUCAAUUUGGGACAGAUAAUUUGAGACGCAGCGAGUAUAUAGUAAAUAACAUGACAACGAAAUGGAACAUAUCUUUAUUCUAUGCCAUUUUUGUUACUCUUUUUGAUUAUGUGUGUCAUGUGCGUAUUGGAGUCUUUUUAUGAAUGGAAUGAGUUAGUACUUAAUGAAUAUAUUAUCAUUAUAUAUCACAUACUGUGUGGGUACUACAUGUGCUGAUCUUUCUUUGAGGUUGAAUGAAUAAAACAAUGCUCUAUAUUGUACAAUAUCACCAUAUUAGUAAAACAAGCAAUGCCUCUUGUUUCGAUGACGAUUUUGUACGCUAGUUGUGUGUAUAGGUGGGGAAUAUUUAUGUCGUGGAUAUUGACAGCUCCUGUCUUUCACUUUUACAUGUCCAAAUAUUAAAAAUAGAUUUUCAUUUUUACUUGUCAUAUUUAACAUAUUAAAAAAAGAUAAUUAUUAUUAUUUUUUUUCCUAUUGUUAAGUCUUUAGUUUUGAUAAUUGACAAGUUGGAUAUUGGGACCUGGUUCCUAGAGAAUGUGUGAUGAAAAGCUGCAACUACUUAGAGAUCUGAUUGGGACUACGCGUCACUAUCACAGUCAACCACCAGUUGGACGAAAGUACAAAAAGUUGGUGGAAAGCUGUUGCAACCUUUUCUGUCUCAGUCAAUGAGAUUUUCCUAGGUUUUCUUGUGUCAUGCUAUAUAUUGCUCAUAUUCCUCAACAAGAAAACCAAGAUUCCAUAUAUUCACAACAUAUAUCUCUCUUGAAGCUCUUUGAUUCAAGACUUAACUGCAACUAGGGGUGGGCAUAAAUACCGAAAAUCGAAACACCAAACCGAACCAAUUUAAUUUGAUUUUUCGAUUUUGAUUUUUCAGUUUUUUGGUUAGGUGUUCGGUUUAUUUCUUAUAUAAGUUCGGUAUUCAGUUUAGAUUUCGGUUAUGGAGCAUGUAUAAUUCGGUAUUCGAUUAAACCGAAUUAAUAUACAAUUUUCAGGAUCUCUAUACAGCCCAUAUAUUAUUUAGUAUUAAUAAUUUACAUUGGCCCAAUUAGUUUAGGCCCAAUCAGCCACCUAAUGUACCCCAGCCCAAAUUCCCAAAUGUAUUUAGUCUAGCCAUCUAGGUCUCAAUUUACAAGUCACAACUUCACUUAGCAAUUAGCACUAGCAGCAUUAGAAUUUAGCACUUAGCAGUAGUUAGCGACGACGGGGAAAAUCGGAUGGUGAGCGAUGAACGACAGACACCGGACAAUGAGCGACGAACAGUGAACCCACCGGAGUGACGAAUGACUGAUAGGCAGCAACUCAGCAGCGAAUCAGGUAUUAUUUUUUUUUUCUUCUUUUUUUUAAUAUGUUUUUGUUGAUUUUCUGAUUGAGUGAUUCAGUAGAUUGAUUUUUCUGAUUUUCUAAAAUAUGGUCGAUUGUUAAAUAGUAAACACUUUUAAUUUAGUUUUUUCUUUCAAAUUUUACAUAGAUGGCUGAUGAAAGAAGAUUUAGUAUGGCUGGUUCAACUGAUAGUGUACCUGAUAAUAGUAAUGACAACUCAGUUGACACUACGGAUGCAAAGAAAAGGAAAGAAAUGGAAAGUAGAUCUACUGUUUGGGAAUAUUUCGAAAAUAUAUUUGAAAAUGGUAAAUUAGUUAAAGCAUGAUGUUUGCAUUGCCAUCAAAAUUAUGCUGCUAAUACAACUAGAAAUGGAACAAGUGGAUUGAGACAACAUUUGGGUAGAUGCAAAAUGUAUAAGCCCCCGCCCACCCCGUCUAGUGGUCAAACAUUGUUAAACUUUCAAACCAAGGAUUCAUCAGGAGAAUAUUAGAAAUUUGAGCAAGAGGUAGUUAGGAGAGCUUUAGUUGAGAUGAUAAUUGUAGAUGAGCUACCAUUUAGCUUCGUAGAAAAUGAAGGCUUUAAGAAGUUUAUGAGUAAAGCCCAACCUUUGUUUCAGAUUCCUUCUUGUAGAACAAUAACAAGAGAUUACUAUGAUGUUUAUGGUGAAAUGAGACUAAGCUUGAAGAAGUCUUUUAGAGAAAUCCAACCAAGAAUCUGUCUUACAAUAGACAAAUAGACAUCGGUGCAAAAGAUUAACUAUAUGUGUUUGACUGCUCACUUUAUUGAUAGAGAUUGGGUACUUCAUAAAAGAAUUUUGAACUUUUGCCCUAUCACUAGUCAUAAAGGUGAGAAUUUGGCUGAGUGUAUUAGUAAUUGCUUGCUUGAUUGGAAAUUGGACAAUGUGUUCACUGUUACUGUUGACAAUGCUUCUUCAAACAAUGUUACAGUUUCCGUAUUGUCUAAGAAGCUAGAUAUAUGGGGAACCAAUGUGAUGGAUGGUAAACAUCUCCAUGUAAGAUGUGUGGCUCAUAUACUUAAUCUAAUUGUGCAAGAUGGUUUGAAAGAAAUUGGUCCUUUUAUAAAAAAGGUAAGGUAAAUGAUUAAGUAUGUGAGAUCCUCUCCUGCAAGAACAAGAAACUUUACAAAAUAUUGUGAAAUGCAAAAGAUUGAAUGUUCAAAGAUGUUGUCAUUAGAUGUGCCUACUAGGUGGAAUUCUUUACAGGUUCGAUCUUUAUGAUGACAACUUUAAUUCUUAUCUUUCUACUAAUGUUUGUGAAUAUGGUAGUGUUACAGGUUUAAUUCAAAGUGAUGAUUGGUUCAAUGUGAGGAAUGUGAUAAAGUUCCUUGAAAGAUUUUAUGUGCUCACUUUAAAAGUUUCAGGUUUACGGUAUGUCACUUGUAAUGUACAUUUUGAGGAUAUUUGUGAACUUGACUCUUAUUUGAAAGAGUGUAUGACAAGUGAUGAUGUUGAGUUGCGUAAAAUGGCUAUGGGGAUGAAAUAAAAGUUCAAGAAUUAUUGGGGGACUCCUAAAAAGAUAAGCAAAAUGAUUUUUAUUGCUUCUGUGUUGGAUCCUCAUAAUAAAUUUGAGUAUGUUAGCUUUGCUCUUAAAGAGCUAUUGGGGAUAGAAAUGGGAAUGAAAGUAAGUCAUGAAGUAAAAACUUAUUUGAAGAACUUAUUUUCUUUCUAUGUUAUGAAGUAUUCAAAAGGUUCUAAAAAUAAUUCAUCUUCAUCUGGAUACACUUCAUCUGACUCGUCUGGAUCUAAUUCAUCUAAUUCUGGUGUUCCUUAAAGUUUGAACACAAAUACUUUGAGAAAUAAGCUUUACAUGAAGAAAAAGGAAAGAGAUUGUGGUAUUAUCGGGGGUACUAAAUCAGAGUUAGAUAAAUACCUUGGUGAAGAUCAAAAGCCUGUGCCCAAGCCUGGAUGCGAAUCUGAAUGUGAGGAUUUUGAUAUCUUAAAUUGGUGGAAAGUUAAUUCUCCUAGAUUUACUAUCCUUUCACUAUUGGCUCGUGAUGUAUUGACUAUUCCGAUGUCAAGUGUGGCAUCAGAAUGUGCAUUUAGUACUGGUGGUCGUAUUCUUGAUCCAUUUAGAAGUUCGUUGACUUCUAAAUGUGUGCAAUGAGUCAUUUGUGUUCAAGAUUGGCUUAGACAAGAGACUAGUCCUAUUUGUGUGGAAGAAAAUUUAGAGUUUCUUGAGAAACUUGAACUCGAGAUGAUAAAUAGUGGGCGAGAAUCUUCCAUUGUUGAUGUAUGAUUACGGUUUGGUAGUACUUAGUAGUGGUGAUUAUUGGGUCAAGUGAUGCCUUCUAAAUCCAAAGCUCACUCGGCUAUUUGGGAGUACUAUGAGGUAAUUCAAACAAUGAACUAGUGCGCAAGACAAGAUGCUUGAAAUGUGGCUUAAUCCUCAGUUGUCAUCCGAAAACGUAUGGCACAUUGUCUUUGCGCAAGCAUUUGGAGAAAUGUUAUGUGAAGUAUGAAAGACGAGCAAAAUUUACUCUAAUUUUAAACACUUGAGAUGCUUCAACAUAGUUGGUUGAAUUUGUAAUUUUACGACUUGUUGCUACUAUUUUGUCUAUUUGUGGGUUGCGACUGUUUUAGCCUUUUAGGCUGCUACUAUUUUUGCUUUUUAUGCUAUUACUUACUUCUAUUUCAGCUU